GACGAACGCUGGCGGCGUGCUUAACACAUGCAAGUCGAACGGAAAGGCCCUGCUUGCAGGGUACUCGAGUGGCGAACGGGUGAGUAGCACGUGGGUGAUCUGCCCUGCACUUCGGGAUAAGCCUGGGAAACUGGGUCUAAUACCGGAUAGGAGCCAUUUUUAGUGUGAUGGUUGGAAAGUUUUUUCGGUGUAGGAUGAGCUCGCGGCCUAUCAGCUUGUUGGUGGGGUAAUGGCCUACCAAGGCGGCGACGGGUAGCCGGCCUGAGAGGGUGGACGGCCACUGUGGGGGAAGUGAGGGGCCCGGCCCCCUGCGGGAGGGGGGGGGGGGGAUUUUUGGCCAUGGGGGGCGGCCCGAAGGCGCGGCCCGCGGGGGGGGGGUAACGGCCUUGGGGUGGUAACUUCCUUUGGGAGGGGACGAAGUUUUUUAGAAGGAUCCUAGGAAAGGAGGACCCGGCUAUUACCGUC
rnacentral:rRNA from 1 species